rnacentral:rRNA from 1 species
GAUGAACGCUAGCGGCAGGCUUAAUACAUGCAAGUUGAGGGGCAGCAUGAUAUACGCGAGUAUAUUGAUGGCGACCGGCGGACGGGUGAGUAAUAGGUAGGAGACCUACCUCAUACAGGGGGAUAGCAUAGAGAAAUCUGUGGUAAUACCCCAUGAGGUUAUAUGAAUAGAGGCAUAUAAUCAAAGCAUAAGCGAUUAUGCGGUAUGAGAGGGGCCUACUGACCAUUAGCUAGUUGGUGAGGUAAGGGCUCACCAAGGCGAAGAUGGUUAGGGGUUUUGAGAGAGAGACCCCCCACAUUGGAACUGAGAGACGGUCCAGACUCCUACGGGAGGCAGCAGUAGGGAAUAUUGGGCAAUGGGCGAAAGCCUGACCCAGCCAUGCCGCGUGAAGGAAGACAGCCUUAAUGGGUUGUAAACUUCUUUACUACGCGAAUAGAGGUUAGUACGAGAUACUAAUAGGAAGGUAGUGUAAGUAAAAAGCACCGGCUAACUCCGU